CCCAGGAGUCAAACAUAU
rnacentral:miRNA from 1 species